rnacentral:rRNA from 1 species
UACGGAGGGUGCAAGCGUUAUCCGGAUUCACUGGGUUUAAAGGGUGCGUAGGCGGGCAGGUAAGUCAGUGGUGAAAUCUUUGGGCUUAACCCGAAAACUGCCAUUGAUACUAUCUGUCUUGAAUAUUGUGGAGGUAAGCGGAAUAUGUCAUGUAGCGGUGAAAUGCUUAGAUAUGACAUAGAACACCCAUUGCGGAGGCAGCUUACUACGCAUAUAUUGACGCUGAUGCACGAAAGCGUGGGGAUCAAACAGG